CUCACGAACACUUGAUAACAACCGAACUAACAUUACCAGUACUCUGCAUUUUGUGUUAAUUUCCAAAAUGCUUUCAACGAUUGUUGUUUUGAUCAUUUUGUUAGGCUGUGGCAAUAUUAAUUCGAUAAAGACAAACGGAAUGCGGAUAACAAAUACCGCCGUAUCGGAGACAAUACGCGUUCUUACCGGAAAAAUAAUGGACCAACAGGAAAAACUUGAGAUAAUGGAGCAGCGCUUACAAGCACUGGAGAGAUCGGCUCAUAGUGAAUCCAAUCAUAUUAAAACCCGACAAGCGGAGUUGUCUAUUGUAGCGUUCACAGCGUGCGUUUCGGCACAGCACGUAAUCAAUAUCGGACAUGGUCAAACGAUUGUGUUCGACCAGGUAAAAACAAAUACCGGAAAUGCGUACAAACGGACGACGGAAAUUUUCAC